rnacentral:rRNA from 1 species
UUGCAGUCGAACGAUGAACCGCUUCGGUGGUGGAUUAGUGGCGAACGGGUGAGUAACACGKGGGCAAUCUGCCCUUCACUCUGGGACAAGCCCUGGAAACGGGGUCUAAUACCGGAUAACACUCUGUCCCGCAUGGGACGGGGUUGAAAGCUCCGGCGGUGAAGGAUGAGCCCGCGGCCUAUCAGCUUGUUGGUGGGGUAAUGGCCUACCAAGGCGACGACGGGUAGCCGGCCUGAGAGGGCGACCGGCCACACUGGGACUGAGACACGGCCCAGACUCCUACGGGAGGCAGCAGWGGGGAAUAUUGCACAAUGGGCGAAAGCCUGAUGCAGCGACGCCGCGUGAGGGAUGACGGCCUUCGGGUUGUAAACCUCUUUCAGCAGGGAAGAAGCGAAAGUGACGGKACCUGCAGAAGAAGCGCCGGCUAACUACGUGCCAGCAGCCGCGGKAAUACGUAGGGCGCAAGCGUUGUCCGGAAUUAUUG